AUGUGCUACAUGUAGGCAGAGCUGUCUCCAUCCUCACAGCCAGAGGCUGGCCCUUCACAGCCUCCAGUCAGGCAGGGAGCCCUCCGGGGUGGCCUGUUCAUGGGCUACAGCCCAGUAAGUGGAGGGCGGGGAGCAGCAACAUCCCCCAGGGUCUACCAGGUAUCCCUCCAGCUGGUGCCUCUGAGCCUCAUAGGGCCCAGAAGCGACCAGCCUCUCCCACUGAGGGUCCCCAGGUACUGGAGAGAGGCCCUGGGCUGGGGGCCAGAGAGGGAUUACCCCUUGAAGAACCAUCUCCUGUGGGGCUCUUGGGCCCAGGGGCACUGGGGCUGGGAGCAGGUGUGGCCAGCCACCAUUUCUCCCACUGUGACCUCUGUGUUGUGGAACAGGGAAGUAGUGCUACCUGUUAUUGGACUUCAGGGGACUGGAGUCCCCCCUGGCCCCAAUCAUAUGCUUCCUGAAAUGCUUUGCACACCAGAGACAGCUUCCCCAGAUCCAGGGGGACAGGGAUCCCCGGGGGAGUCCCCAGGGCCAGCCCUCUGGGCCAGCUGCACACGCUCGACACUGAUUUGCAGUCUUGCACAAAUAAGGGGUAAGAGCCCAGUGGCUGGGGUGGGCAAUGGGGGGAGCCUCUGGCCUAGGGAGUCCCUGGCAUUGACAGUGGGCACAGUCCCAAACACACACCCCCAGUCCUGGACCUCAAGGCCCCUGCCCCACCAAGCAAAGGCUGCUUCCUGCUGGAGAAGCCCCAAAUGUCAGUUUCAAGGAAGAGGGGCCAGCCCUUUGGAGGUCCCAGGGAACCCUGGGCCACCCCACUGCUGCCAACAGUUCUGAUGCUCAAACCACACCCUUCUGGAGCCACCUGCUGCCUGGGCCCAACGAGCCUGUUUUGGACCCAACAGACUGCAGUCCCAUGGAGCGGAGGCUGAGAGGUGCCCAUCACCCGAAGCUGAGCCCACUUUGAAGCCGCUGGAAGGGGCCAGGCCUGCUGAGCCCCCCUAGUGCCUCCCCUGUUCCCACCCCUGUUGUCAGCUGUACCCUGCUGGUCAACUUUGAGGAAUCAUUGCUGCAAGGACGCUUUGCACCAUCUGGCCGCAUUGAGGGCUUCAAAGCAGAGACUAGAGCUAGUGGGUCCUACUGCCACCACCAUGUCACACUGCCUGUCACUGUCACCUUCUUUGAGGUUUCUGAGCAAAAUGUCCCCACCCCCUUCCUGGGCUUCAUGGAUCUGAACUCCCCAGGGAGGAAGAGUUACAGCGUGCCCAAAGUGGGCACUAUGCAAGUAACAUUUAACCCCAACCAGACUAUGGUGAAGAUGUUCGGUGACCUUGGACUUCUUGGACAUGGCUGCUGCCACAUGCCCUUCCUGUGCCAUUGCCUCUUUUUGGUGCCUGUGGAUGAGCAGAAAAAUGCUAACCCCACCUACUGCCUCCUCUGCUACUUGCUGCACCUUCGGUUCUGUAGCUCCCGCUCAGGCCUCUUAAGCCAGAAUGGAGAUCUCUGCCUGCUUUUUUCCUGCGGGCGCCUGGAGCUGGACGCAGGGCUCCCCUACGAACUUCAGGCUGUGACUGAGGCCCCUCUUAACUCACGUUAUUCACCUUUACCCUGAUUGCCAGCACUCUGAACCAAUGUGAGUUCAACUC